rnacentral:rRNA from 1 species
CUACGGAGGGUGCAAGCGUUACUCGGAAUCACUGGGCGUAAAGCGCGCGCAGGCGGGCUGAUAAGUUGGAUGUGAAAACCUACGGCUCAACCGUAGAACUGCAUCCAAAACUGUCAGUCUAGAGUCUGGGAGGGGAAGAUGGAAUUAGUUGUGUAGGGGUAAAAUCCGUAGAGAUAACUAGGAAUACCAAAAGCGAAGGCGAUCUUCUGGAACAGUACUGACGCUGAGGCGCGAAAGCGUGGGGAGCAAACAGGAUUAGAAACCCUAGUAGUCC